rnacentral:rRNA from 1 species
UACGGAGGAUGCGAGCGUUAUCCGGAUUUAUUGGGUUUAAAGGGUGCGUAGGCGGACUGUUAAGUCAGCGGUAAAAGCCCGGGGCUCAACCCCGGCGAGCCGUUGAAACUGAUGUUCUUGAGUGGGCGAGAAGUAUGCGGAAUGCGUGGUGUAGCGGUGAAAUGCAUAGAUAUCACGCAGAACUCCGAUUGCGAAGGCAGCAUACCGGCGCCCAACUGACGCUGAGGCAUGAGAGCAUGGGGAGCAAACAGG